rnacentral:lncRNA from 1 species
UUAGAGAAGCAUAGCAACUCAUAAAUUAAGUUUUGCACCGCACUACAAGCGCACAACAAUCAUAAUCACUUUUCUCUGGUAUCAAAAAUUUGAAACAUGGAUAAAGGUUCGCUCAAGCUGGUUUUCUUCGUUGCUUUAUUAGUUGCAUCUGCUGGUAAAAUACUUUGCUCAUAUAAUUUUUUUUCACUCAUUCACCUUUUUAUCAUAUUUCCCUGGUCGACUUUUCUCUGUAAAAUUAUGCAACUUGCCACAUAUAUUGUAUUAUGCAUGUGAUAUUUCUAAUUAAUAAUUAAGGAAAUAUUUGUGGUAGGUGUGCAACUUGGAGUCGAAGCAGUGAAUCUUUGGCAACCUGGUCUGUGCACAACACCUAAAGAUUGCGAUAACCCCGCCAAAUGCAAAUGCAGCGCAGCUGGUCUCUGUGUUUGUCCCAAGGAAGUGGUGAAAGUAACGUCUGCCGCCCCAUCUGCAUACUCGGAAGAGCAUAAGGAAACCCCGGAAUCAAAAGUUUUUAAUUCUCACAUUAUAUAAACUAUUUGUGUGGUCCUAUUAAACCACACAAGUUACAAAUGUGAGGACUAUUUGAAUAAAUAAUAAAUAACACCAACUUAUUUAUAGUUGCUGAACAGUCU